GUUACAGGUGUGAGCCACCCAUUUAUUCUGUGCCACUUCAAUCUACCAGUCUCUUCCCUGAUAGCAAAAAGAAUCGAGUCACCACCUUUAAAAGAUGAAAAUCCUCAACAUGAUUUACAAUAUUUUUUCCAAACUGCAGGUCAUGAGCCAUUAGUGGCUCAUAGAAACAAUUUAGUGGGUCAACACCAGCACUUUUUUAAAAAAGUGAAGUAGAACAGAAAUAUGAA
rnacentral:lncRNA from 10 species